UUGGGCGCCUCAAGUGCUAACCCAACAUGGCAGAAAGUUUGGAAACUUAACUGUCCAGCAAAGGUAAAAAUCUUUCUCUGGCGAACACUACAUGGAACUAUGCCUUGUAAUGUUGUUCUUGCAAAUCGUCAUAUACCUGUUAGACCGGCGUGUCCAGCAUGUGGCCAAAGUGCGGAAGAUGUUUUGCAUGUGUUGUUUCGAUGCAAAAAAGCCAAGGAAGUGUGGCGCCUCCUAGGACUGGAAGAUGUUAUAGCGCAUGCAUGCGAAGUGGAUCGAGCGGGGGAAGCAAUACUUGCUUAUUUGCUAAAUUUUCCCGCACAGGAGGCGAUCGUUCUAGGCGUUAAAUUUUUUUAUGAGCUCAUGUCUAUCACUUGCUGGUACCUCUGGUGGGAAAGACGGAAACUAGUUCACAAGGAGCAUGUGCAAGAUGCGAAAAGAAUUUCACAAUCUGUGAGAGCGAUGGCAGAAAAUUUUGUUAUUGCAUGUGACCCAAAGGCAGUACUAAAGAAGGACGGAUGGAGAAAACCACCUAAUGGCUUUGUUAAGCUGAACGUAGAUGCCGCCUUCGACUAUGACGCGUUACAUGGAGCUAUGGGAGCAGUCAUACGAGACGAUAGAGGUCAUUUUAUUGUUUCUGGAAACAAACUAAUAGAGUCAUGCUAUGAUCCUCUUUCUGCAGAGGCAUUGGCUCUUAAAUUUGGUUUACAACUCUCUUCUUCGGCAGGGUGUAACAGGCUUGUCGUUAAUUCCAACAGCCUAGAACUAAUGGAGAUUAUGACCAAGGACGGUCAGUAUGCGGGGAAUGCAGCAGCCAUCAUUGAUGAUUGUUACCACUUGGCAUGUGAGUUUAGUUCAAUUCGGUUUUGA
rnacentral:rRNA from 1 species